GAUGAACGCUGGCGGCGUGCCUAAUACAUGCAAGUCGAGCGAACGGACGAGAAGCUUGCUUCUCUGAUGUUAGCGGCGGACGGGUGAGUAACACGUGGAUAACCUACCUAUAAGACUGGGAUAACUUCGGGAAACCGGAGCUAAUACCGGAUAAUAUUUUGAACCGCAUGGUUCAAAAGUGAAAGACGGUCUUGCUGUCACUUAUAGAUGGAUCCGCGCUGCAUUAGCUAGUUGGUAAGGUAACGGCUUACCAAGGCAACGAUGCAUAGCCGACCUGAGAGGGUGAUCGGCCACACUGGAACUGAGACACGGUCCAGACUCCUACGGGAGGCAGCAGUAGGGAAUCUUCCGCAAUGGGCAAAAGCCUGACGGAGCAACGCCGCGUGAGUGAUGAAUGUCUUCGGAUCGUAAAACUCUGUUAUUAGGGAAGAACGUAUGUGUCAGUGACUGUGCACAUCUUGACGGUACCUAAUCAUAACGCCACGGCUUACCACCUGCCAUCAGUCGCGGUUAUACGUAGGUGGCAAGCGUGAUCCGGAAUUAUUGGGCGUAAAGCGCGCGUAGGCGGUUUUUUAGUCUGAUGUGAAAGCCCACGGCUCAACCGUGGAGGGUCAUUGGAAACUGGAAAACUUGAGUGCAGAAGAGGAAAGUGGAAUUCCAUGUGUAGCGGUGAAAUGCGCAGAGAUAUGGAGGAACACCAGUGGCGAAGGCGACUUUCUGGUCUGUAACUGACGCUGAUGUGCGAAAGCGUGGGGAUCAAACAGGAUUAGAUACCCUGGUAGUCCACGCCGUAAACGAUGAGUGCUAAGUGUUAGGGGGUUUCCGCCCCUUAGUGCUGCAGCUAACGCAUUAAGCACUCCGCCUGGGGAGUACGACCGCAAGGUUGAAACUCAAAGGAAUUGACGGGGACCCGCACAAGCGGUGGAGCAUGUGGUUUAAUUCGAAGCAACGCGAAGAACCUUACCAAAUCUUGACAUCCUUUGACAACUCUAGAGAUAGAGCCUUCCCCUUCGGGGGACAAAGUGACAGGUGGUGCAUGGUUGUCGUCAGCUCGUGUCGUGAGAUGUUGGGUUAAGUCCCGCAACGAGCGCAACCCUUAAGCUUAGUUGCCAUCAUUAAGUUGGGCACUCUAAGUUGACUGCCGGUGACAAACCGGAGGAAGGUGGGGAUGACGUCAAAUCAUCAUGCCCCUUAUGAUUUGGGCUACAUACGUGCUACAAUGGACAAUACAAAGGGCAGCGAAACCGCGAGGUCAAGCAAAUCCCAUAAAGUUGUUCUCAGUUCGGAUUGUAGUCUGCAACUCGACUACAUGAAGCUGGAAUCGCUAGUAAUCGUAGAUCAGCAUGCUACGGUGAAUACGUUCCCGGGUCU
rnacentral:rRNA from 1 species